AGGGCAUACGGUGGAUGCCUUGGCACGGAUAGGCGAUGAAGGACGUGGUAAGCUGCGAUAAGCCUCGGGUAGGUGCAAACAACCUCAGACCCGGGGAUUUCCGAAUGGGGAAACCCGUCCGCCGUAAUGGGCGGACACUUCCUGCUGAAUACAUAGGCAGGAUAGAGCGAACGGGGGGAAGUGAACCAUCUCAGUACCCCCAGGAAAAGAAAGCAACAGCGAUUUCCUGAGUAGUGGCGAACGAAAGGGAAACAGCCUAAACCGUCCCGCUUCGGCGGGGCGGGGUUGUGGGACAUGCCAUCAACGGGUUGGACGUAUAGCAAAACUCUUCUGGAAAGGGAGACCAUAGAGGGUGAUAGUCCUGUAUGCGAAAUACUGAAAACUCAAGGCAUGCUCCCGAGUACCACGGGACACGUGAAAUCUUGUGGGAAUCAGGGUGGACCACCAUCCAAGGCUAAAUACUCAUCCGUGACCGAUAGUGAACCAGUACCGUGAGGGAAAGGUGAAAAGUACCCCGGCGAGGGGAGUGAAAUAGUACCUGAAACCGUAUGCUUACAAUCAGUCGGAGUCCGCCUCAGGCGGAUGACGGCGUGCCUUUUGCAUAAUGAGCUAGUGAGUUACUUGUCUGUUGCAAGGUUAAUCCGCUCAGCGGAGCAGCCGCAGCGAAAGCGAGUCUGAACAGGGCGCCAGAGUAACAGGCAGUAGACCCGAAACUGGGUGAGCUACCCAUGGCCAGGAUGAAGUUUCGGUAACACGGAAUGGAGGUCCGAACCCACCAAAGUUGAAAAUUUGGGGGAUGAGCUGUGGGUAGGGGUGAAAGGCCAAUCAAACCCAGUGAUAGCUGGUUCUCCCCGAAAUAGCUUUAGGGCUAGCCUCGUGUUAGUGUCGCGGAGGUAGAGCACUGAAUGGCGUAGGGGCCUACCCAGGUUACCGAAUCCAAUCAAACUCCGAAUGCCGUUGACAUGAUGCACGGGAGUCAGGCUGUGUGGGAUAAACUUCACAGCCGAGAGGGAAAGAACCCAGACCACCAGCUAAGGUCCCCAAAUGCAGGUUAAGUGCUAAAGGAUGUAGGAUCGCAUAGACAACCAGGAUGUUGGCUUAGAAGCAGCCAUUCAUUUAAAGAGUGCGUAAUAGCUCACUGGUCAAGUAAUCUUGCGCCGAAAAUGAUCGGGACUCAAGCCUGCUACCGAAGCUGUGGAUUCCGCCUUUGGCGGACUGGUAGGGGAGCAUUCCACUUACCCGCGAAGGUGUGCCGUGAGGCAUGCUGGAGGAGGUGGAAAAGAGUAUGCUAGCAUGAGUAGCGAUAAUUCCGGUGAAAAACCGGAACACCGAAAAUCUAAGGUUUCCUGAGUAAAGCUAAUCUGCUCAGGGUUAGUCGGCCCCUAAGCCGAGGCCGAAAGGCGUAGGCGAUGGAAAACGGGUUAAUAUUCCCGUACCACCUGUAAACUGUUUGACCUAUGGGGGGACGCAGGGGUGAAAGGUCAGGCCCGUGCUGGAAUACGGGCUCUAAGUGCGUAGGCGGAGAGGGUUGGCAAAUCCGCUCUCUCAACGCCGAGACACGAAUGGGAGGGCUCUGCCCACAAACUGACCCUAAUCGGACUGCCAAGAAAAGCCUCUAUGGAAGGGUUAUGGGUGACCGUACCGUAAACCGACACAGGUAGAUGAGGAGAGUAUCCUAAGGUGCUCGAGAUAGCCGUGGUUAAGGAACUAGGCAAAUUGCCCCCGUAACUUCGGAAGAAGGGGUGCCCUGAUUAGGUGAAUUCCCUCGCGGAAGGAACCGAAAGGGGCCGCAGAGAAAUGGCUCUGGCGACUGUUUAACAAAAACACAGGUCUCUGCUAAAUCGUAAGAUGAUGUAUAGGGACUGACACCUGCCCGGUGCCGGAAGGUUAAGGGGAGGGGUUAUUCCGACUUGUCGGAAGAAGCUCUGAACUGAAGCCCCGGUAAACGGCGGCCGUAACUAUAACGGUCCUAAGGUAGCGAAAUUCCUUGUCGGGUAAGUUCCGACCUGCACGAAUGGUGUAACGACUGGAGCACUGUCUCGACCACGGCCUCGGCGAAAUUGUAGUGGCGGUGAAGAUGCCGCCUACCCGCGGAUGGACAGAAAGACCCCGUGAACCUUUACUAUAGCUUAGCAUUGGGUUUUGGCAAAGCAUGUGUAGGAUAGGUGGGAGGCGUUGAAGUGGCGACGCUAGUCGUCAUGGAGCCAUCCUUGAAAUACCACCCUUGUUCUGUUGAAAUCCUAACCGUGGGCCUUGAAUCAGGUCUCGGAACCGUGCUAGGUGGGUAGUUUGACUGGGGCGGUCGCCUCCAAAAAAGUAACGGAGGCUCCCAAAGGUUCCCUCAGCACGAUUGGUAACCGUGCAUAGAGCGUAAAGGUAUAAGGGAGCUUAACUGCGAGACCCACAAGUCGAGCAGGUGCGAAAGCAGGGCUUAGUGAUCCGGCGGUGCUGUGUGGAAAGGCCGUCGCUCAAAGGAUAAAAGGUACUCCGGGGAUAACAGGCUUAUCGGGUCCAAGAGUCCACAUCGACGACCCGGUUUGGCACCUCGAUGUCGGCUCAUCGCAUCCUGGGGCUGUAGCAGGUCCCAAGGGUUUGGCUGUUCGCCAAUUAAAGCGGUACGUGAGCUGGGUUCAGAACGUCGCAAGACAGUUCGGUCCUUAUCCUCCGUGGGCGUAGGAGAUUUGAGGGGAGCUGUUCCUAGUACGAGAGGACCGGAAUGGACGAACCUCUAGUGUACCAGUUGUCCCGCCAGGGGCACGGCUGGGUAGCUAUGUUCGGACGGGAUAACCGCUGAAAGCAUCUAAGUGGGAAGCCCACCCCAAGACGAGAUCUCCCUUCCGCCGAAAGGCGGACUGAAGGCUCCUGGGAGAUGACCAGGUGAUAGGCCGGAGGUGUAAGUGCAGCAAUGCAUUCAGCCGACCGGUACUAAUCAGCCGUGAGGCUUGACC
rnacentral:rRNA from 1 species